GGACCCGCCAUGUCAGUUCCAUCCUGUCAUCAUCCAUCUCACUCUCAUCUGAUCUGAUCAUAACACUUCUCAGUUCUGUCUCAAAAACACACACGCACAAUCACAUACUUUCAGUUCUCAUGUUUCCGUAAAUCAUCAGCAAAACAAAUGGCGAACAUAGGGAAGAAAAUUCUGAAUAAAGGAUGGUUAGCUGCACGGUCAACGGAGGUUGACCUCACCGGAGUAGAGCUGACCACCACUCAUCCUCCGUCCUCCUCACCUACUUCUCUUCCCUGGAUGGAAGCUUGUGUUCCCGGAACUGUACUGGCAACGCUUCUAAGGAAUAAACUCAUACCUGAUCCUUUCUAUGGGUUGGAGAAUGAGUCGAUUAUAGACAUUGCCGAUUCAGGGAGAGAUUACUACACUUUCUGGUUCUUCACAACUUUUCAUUGUAAGCCGAUUUUUUCUCAGACGAGUAGUCAGCAUGUGGACCUGAAUUUCCGGGCUAUAAACUAUUCUGCCGAGGUGUAUAUGAAUGGGCACAGAAGGGUCUUGCCAAAGGGAAUGUUCCGAAGACAUUCACUCGAUGUAACUGAUAUUCUGCAUCCUGAUGGUCAGAAUUUACUUGCAGUUAUGGUUUAUCCUCCUGAUCAUCCUGGAAAGAUUCCUCCAGAGGGGGGCCAAGGUGGCGACCAUGAGAUUGGAAAAGAUGUUGCUACACAAUAUGUUGAGGGCUGGGACUGGAUGGCUCCUAUAAGGGAUAGGAACACUGGCAUCUGGGAUGAGGUAUCUGUUUCUGUUACUGGGCCUGUUAAAAUAGUGGAUCCUCACUUGGUCUCAUCAUUAUUUGAUGAUUGUACGAGAGCUUAUUUGCAUGCAUCCACUGAACUGGUAAACAAAAGUUCUUCGGUUGCUGAGUGUGACUUGAUCAUACAAGUGACAACAGAACUUGAAGGAAACAUUUGCUCACUAGAGCAUCUUCGGAAGGAACACCUGUCAAUCUAUCCUGGAGCUCAUGUCCAGUAUACGUUUUCCAAGGCUUUCUUUUACAAGCCCAAUCUAUGGUGGCCAAAUGGUAUGGGAAAGCAAUCCUUGUACAAUGUUGAAAUUUCUGUUGAGGUGAAAGGUUUUGCGGAGUCUGAUUCAUGGAGCCAUCCAUUUGGAUUUCGCAAAAUUGAGAGUGACAUUGAUAGUGCAACUGGAGGAAGGUUGUUUAAGGUGAAUGAGCAGCCCAUCUUUAUACGGGGAGGAAAUUGGAUAUUGUCUGAUGGACUAUUACGACUAUCAGAUAAACGUUAUAAAACAGAUAUUAAAUUUCAUGCUGAUAUGAACUUCAACAUGAUACGUUGUUGGGGUGGGGGGCUAGCUGAGAGACCUGAGUUUUACCAUUACUGUGAUAUCUAUGGGCUGCUGGUUUGGCAAGAGUUUUGGAUAACUGGAGAUGUUGAUGGACGAGGUGUCCCGAUUUCAAACCCUGAUGGUCCUUUAGAUCAUGACCUUUUCCUGCUCUGUGCAAGAGACACUGUCAAGCUUCUCAGGAAUCAUCCUAGUCUUGCUCUGUGGGUAGGAGGAAAUGAACAAGUUCCGCCAGAUGAUAUCAACACAGCUUUAAAACAUGAUCUGAGACUCUAUCCAUAUUUCCAGAAACUUGAUGAAAUUAAAAUAUCACCAGAAGAAAUCUCCCUAGUUUUAAAGGAUCCUAGUCAAUACCUUGAUGGUACACGCAUUUAUGUACAAGGAUCUAUGUGGGAUGGCUUUGCAAAUGGUAAGGGAGAUUUUACAGAUGGUCCAUAUGAAAUUCAGAACCCUGAAAAUUUUUUUAAGGACGACUUCUACAUGUAUGGCUUCAACCCAGAGGUUGGUUCUGUUGGAAUGCCUGUUGCAGCUACUAUCAGGGCAACAAUGCCUCCAGAGGGAUGGCAAAUUCCUUUGUUCAAGGAACUAUCAAAUGGCUAUGUCGAAGAGGUCCCGAAUCCUGUAUGGGAUUACCAUAAAUACAUCCCUUAUUCAAAACCUAACUUGGUUCAUGAUCAAAUAUUACAUUACGGCACCACAAAGGAUCUUGAUGAUUUCUGUCUCAAGGCGCAACUAGUGAAUUAUAUUCAGUACCAAGCUCUGUUGGAAGGCUGGACUUCUCGAAUGUGGAGUAAAUACACAGGUGUUCUGAUUUGGAAAACACAAAAUCCUUGGACAGGUCUAAGAGGCCAGUUUUAUGAUCAUCUUCAUGAUCAAACAGCUGGAUUUUAUGGUUGUCGCUCUGCAGCUGAACCAAUUCAUGUCCAGCUGAAUCUGGCAACAUAUUUUAUAGAGGUGGUCAACACGACAGCCAGUAUAUUGUACGAUGUGGCAAUAGAAGUAUCUGUGUGGGAACUGGAUGGAGAUUGUCCAUAUUACAAAGUAACUGAGGUGCUCUCUAUUCCAUCUAAAAGAACUGUACCUGUAACUGAGAUGACGUACCCAAAGUCUAUGAAUCCAAAGCCGGUCUACUUUCUGCUUCUGAAACUCUAUGAUGUAUCUGAUCACAGCAUAUUAUCAAGGAACUUUUAUUGGUUGCACCUUCCUGGAGAUGAUUAUAAGUUAUUGGAACCAUACAGGAAAAAGACGGUACCCCUCAAGAUAACUUCACAGACAAUGGUAGAUGGGGAUAGUUAUGAAAUGCAAAUGCAUGUAGAAAACAUUUCGAAGAAACCAGAAUCCAAAGACCUGUUAUACAAGAAUAAUUUUUUCAACAGUAAUGGUGAUAAAGAUUUUGGUAUGUCCUCAUCCAAAACAGUACAGAGUCAUAAAGAGCAUCAAGUUAAUUUCCUUCAGAGGAUGUCUCGUAAAUCCUCAAAGGGACGUGAUGCUUUGAGGACUGAGAUUAUCAAUGGAUCUGAGACUGGUGUUGCUUUCUUUCUUCAUUUUUCUGUUCAUUCUUCAAAGAAGGAUCAGAAAGUAGGGGAAGACACAAGAAUUCUUCCAGUUCAUUAUUCAGACAAUUAUUUCUCUCUGGUUCCUGGUGAAGUCAUGACUAUCGCUCUCUCCUUUGAGGUCCCUCAAGGUGUCACGCCACAGGUUAAACUUCAGGGUUGGAAUUACCAUGGUGCUCAUACUGUUUAUCAUUGAGUCAGAAGGUACCGACUAUAAGUCUAUAACAAGAUAUGUCGACCCCCACAUCUACCAGCUAAUAUCACUUCCCUCUGCUUCUGCCGUCUCCUGGACAAAAUUAAACCACCUUCUUACUGGUUCUCCCUCCUUUGUAGCAAUGCAAAAAGUCUCAAAACAACUGAUAGUACCAUUAAUGGCCAAGCAGUGGAAAUUUGUUAGCAUAUUGGUGGGGCGAAGAGCAGAGGCAGCUUCUGUUCUCAGUUUUCUUUGUCUCGGCAGAGUGUUAUAUUAGCAAGCUCUCUGUAAAUAUGAUACCUAAGAGAGAGGGAGUAUUUUACAAUGUAUUUGUGAAGAAGUUUUCUGACAGUAAACAGACAUUAAGCCAAUAUUCUGCCUGCUAUAAAACUCGGGACAUUUUGUA